GCGUUCGUAGCUCAACUGGAUAGAGCAACAGACUUCGAAUCUGUAGGUUAUGGGUUCAAUUCCUAUCGGGCGCACCA
rnacentral:tRNA from 1 species